rnacentral:rRNA from 1 species
UACGUAGGGGGCAAGCGUUGUCCGGAUUUACUGGGCGUAAAGAGCGUGUAGGCGGCCUGGCAGGUCAGCUGUGAAAACUCGAGGCUCAACCUCGAGACGUCGGUUGAAACCACCUGGCUAGAGUCCGGAAGAGGAGUGUGGAAUUCCCGGUGUAGCGGUGAAAUGCGCAGAUAUCAGGAAGAACACCCGUGGCGAAGGCGGCUCUCUGGGACGGUACUGACGCUGAGACGCGAAAGCGUGGGGAGCGAACAGG